CUUUUAUCUGCGAAACCUCUAUCUGGUUCCAGGUCUCUACUGAAUUCCAGUUGCUGUGUGUUCGCUGCAUGUUGAAGAGUUAAAUCACAAGCAGAUGUAAGGCCACAGACCUUGACUUUGCAAUCACUGUGCUCCUGAAGACACUACUACCUCUGGGAAAAUAGUCACCACCAGGUGCUGGGGUUGUCCCAAGGGGCUUUGAUGCAGUUAGUCACAUCAUCUGAAAACGCUUUUACUAUUGAUCCAUGCUCACUUACUGUUAGGAGACAAGGAGGAGCACCAUUGUUCCACUCCUUGCAGAAGAGUGGAAACAGCCAGAAGGCACUGGUGACACUGUGGACCAAAGAGCCAUUUGCAAGCAACAAGUGGCUCCAGUUCAUGUACAAGCACCACAGUGUCCUUAAGUAUCAAGAACGAACUGAGUACAUAAAGGACAUUCAGUAAUCACCUCUGCAUGAUUGCCCAGCAUUCCGACUCUCCUUUUUC
ensembl:lncRNA